AAACAAGCUCCUGAACUAAAUUAGGAUCUGGAUUAUUUUUCCCUCCUCUCUCGAUCUGCAGUGCAAGGCAGAGUGGUGAGCCAUCACGGUUUUGUGUGUGGUGAAUUUGUUUCCACUGCACAUUUUAAUUCGGAGCUCCUGAAGGUGUCUGUGUUUGUAAGGACUGUGUUUUUGGAGCUGCUCCCUCGGAGUAAUGAAUUCACGGCAUGUCUCUGGGAAAUUAAGGUUUCUUUUCUGGGAGCUGCUAUCACUGAAUACAUAAAGAAAUUGAGCCUAUAUGAUUUCAAUCUUCACCUUCUGAUGCUGAUGAAACAGGAUUCUAUGCAGUUUUCCACAGGGAGAAGCAGCAGGCUGAAGUGGCUCUUUAGGGAGACACAUACCUCCACAGGAAGAGCAGUCUAGAUUGUUUUAGCACAUUCCACUUAAGGAUUGCAGUGUGACAGCAGAGAAAAUCCUCUCCAGUCAAGUAAUUGCAUCCAUUUCAUCUUCCCAGCCCUCCUCUAGAUGGGAGGUGGAGGACAGUGGGGACCCCAGCCAGAGCCUGGGGACUUGGCUGCCUUGGAACCAGAACCUGGCCCCUCAGAGGAGUUGCAGAAUUUCGAUAGAGGAGUGGCAGGAGGUGUACUGGCUGAAGAGGAGGCCCAAGGAACUCCUUUUCAUACAUCAAAACUGAGCUUAUCACCUCUACCCUGAAGUCAUCCUGGACAUCACUGGUCCCAGUUAAUCACUCACUUAUCUUUGCCAUCCUUGACCUGGCUGGAGUGAGCCCUUGAGCUGACCCAGAAGUUCUGAGCAUUUAUCACCCAGUAUUGAUGACCAUGUAUUUUGCCUCCUCUCUUUAUGCCUAAAGAUGAAGGAAGAAAUACAAGCUCAUGUUACAAAGAGUAUUUCCUGGGUUUAUCAGCUCUCCCCCUCUCAGCUUGAGCUCUGAAUGAUUUCUUAGUUCUCAGCUUUUCUUCCUCUGAUCAAAGUGCCUGAGGCAGUGAGCACUGGGAGGGCAGGAGCAUUUCUGGCUGAGCCCAAUGCUCACCUCUUCUGGGCCGUUUUAGGAAGCUGUGGCCCAGUGUUCUCUGGUCAGACAAGCAUGGCCUGGCUGUGGAAGGGUCUCCAAAGGCUCAUGGGUCCCAGGUGCCCUGGAUUUUGAAGGCAGCUGCCCUGCCUCCACUGGGAGAAGAUUAAAGCCCCCUUUGCCUUUCUUCGUCCCUCCCUUUCCCACUCUGUUCACUCAAUCACUCUUUUCUCUCCAAUGAAUUAAAUGCAGAAAAUCCAUGAGCAGGAUUUCUCUCUUCAAAGGACCAAAUAACCUUCUUUCUAUUCCCCCUAAAUUUUUUUCCAAACUGCAAAAAGAAAACAUGCAAACAGACUUCAAGUUAAAGGUGAGAGAAAGAAAGAAAAAUUGAAGCAAAGUAAUUUUAACUUGAGAAGUAGAGCAGUUUAAACCCAGAAAAAAAAUGUACACUCCGCAAUAUAGUCCUUUCCUACAAAUUAAUUAACCCAAAGUACUUGUUUAAUUAGUGUGAGGGGUAGGGAAUUGAGUAGCUAACAAUAUCUCUCACCCAGUUUAGAAUUAUGUUCACAAAAGAAUUUCUUCUUCUUUUCCUGAAAGGGAAGAGAACGUUGCCCUCAUUGGUCUGGAAUCAGCAGGUACCUCAUGGCUGGAGGUGUAUUUUCAGGUGGGUUGGGACUUUGAAGAGGUGGCUUUUCCUAUGGACCCCUCUGACUCCCCACCUGUGGGCAUGACACAGGUGACCUGGCUGCCAGGGCAGAGGCUGCUUAGCCCUGCUCCAGAGAAACAGAGCUCUGAGGGCUUCCAGAAACCAGGGCUCCUGGCUCCUCAGUCCUUCCCACUCCUCUCUUCCUACUCCCGUGCUGCAUAUAAACUUUUCUUUUUUUUUCAGAUGGAGUCUCACUCUGUCACUCAGGCUGGAGUGCAGUGGUGCGAUCUCAGCUUACUGCAACCUCCGCCUCCCGGGUUCAAGUGAUUCUCCUGCCUCAGCUUCCCCAGUAGCAGGGACUACAGGACCACAGGUUACAGGCAUGAGCCACUGCACUUGGCCUGCAUAUAAACUUUUUGAGUUUCCUGCUUUUGACAUGAGCAUGGAUAUUUAUCACUUCUAGAGGCAUUAGGAGAACUCAAGUCCAAGUGCUCAGAGACCUACAGUGCAGCUUAAGACCCUGUCACAGGAAUCUUCGGGGUGGGGGCAUGCACGGGAGUUAUAGAGAGUUGGGGAAGGAUGAGUUCUCAACCAAUGCUUUCCUUUUUUCCACAGACUCCUUUGGCAUCUGGUGAGGCCUGUGGAUUCAUUCUCAGAAUCACAUUUUUAAAUGCACAUAAUAAAAUACAUAGAAUUGCAAAGGAAGUUAAUUAUAUUGAAAUACAGUUAUCAAAAAUAUAAAUAAAACAAGUAUGUGGUACAGUCAUAUGUGUGCUUCUUUAUUAAGUCAUUACAAAGCAAGAUCUAUUUGGAGGUCUAAUAACUGUCAUAUGCUUGAAAAAAUCCUUAACAAUCAUAAUAUAUUAAAAAAUCUGAUUUCUACUUUGGCAAAUCAUAGAUAUUGCUGAAACUGUGGUUUAUUGCCUGCAUUCAUAAUUGAAGGAAAUGCUAGAGUUCAGUGAGAAGGUUGUGAAAAUAAAGAGAGCCUUUUUUUCUCAUCAAG
rnacentral:lncRNA from 10 species